UACGGAGGGUGCAAGCGUUAUCCGGAUUUACUGGGUUUAAAGGAUGCGUAGGCGGACAUUUAAGUCAGAUGUGAAAUACCCGAGCUUAACUUGGGUGCUGCAUUUGAAACUGGGUGUCUAGAGUGCAGGAGAGGUAAGUGGAAUUCCUAGUGUAGCGGUGAAAUGCGUAGAGAUUAGGAAGAACACCAGUGGCGAAGGCGACUUACUGGACUGUAACUGACGCUGAGGCAUGAAAGCGUGGGGAGCAAACAGG
rnacentral:rRNA from 1 species